GGUCAUAGCUCAGUGGUAGAGUACUCACCUAGCAUGUGUGAGACCCUGGGUUCAAUCCCCAGCACCA
rnacentral:tRNA from 1 species